GUAAGUGUAGCUAAUCUGUAGAGUUUUUCUUUCUUUUGUUUUUCAAUACUUGGUUCAAUAGCUGUUGAAAAUUAGCACUACUGAAUAUUUAUUUGGUUGCAACAUGAGCUGAAGUUCAUUCAGAUAUGUUCCUUUUGAACCGUUUUUACUGAAUUAUUUUCUAUUACUAGCCAUUUUUUUUAGCUUGAUUUCUUUGAAAUGAUACAGCUUUUUCUGUUUAAUGCUUCUUACUUAUGUUUUUGUAAUACAUUAUUGAGUUUUACAUCGUAGAGAGGAAACAUCGGUCCUCUUAGGGUAUGCUUUUAGGCGUUCCUACUUUAUUAAGCGUCAUCAUUUCCUAGGAUUAAGUUCUUAUGGGAUAGGUGAGUUUUCAUUUGUAUCAUUUUAUUUGUUUUAGUCAGAUUCAAAUAGGUUCCUACUUCUCUACAUAAUAUUUGGUAUACAUGUGAUCAAUAUUUGUGCUAAAGGGUUUUACGCGUUUCCUAUGUUUAUACCUACUUUAAUUGAUUUUAUCUUUUCCGAAUAGGGGAGCUAGUAACUUCUAGUAAAUGUUUGCUUACUCAAUUCUCCUUUUUACUAUAGGCUUCUAUGUUUUCCAGAUUGUAGCAAGAUACGUUUCAAACCUUGACAAGAUUCCACAUUUCUACCAAAUAUUUUUAUGUCAGUUCUUUUGGGGUUGCUAAGUCAGGUCAAGAGAUGUAGUCUUCAAGUUCUUAGCCGGUUCAAAUACCUCUAGGAAUGGUUUCAAUUCUAACAGAUCAUCAGUGAUAGUUAGCUUCAUAAGAUAUUAAAUUCUAUUUUUAACUUUGUUUGAUUUGGAUAAUUUCAGUUUUGAUGCAGCUCAGUUUAUAAGAACCUUACUUGUUUCAUGGGUGAUUUCUUUUCCAGGAUCUAUAUUGCAUUUGUGGUUUUCAUGUUUAUGUAUUACUAAUUUUGUGUUAGUUUACACUUCCGUGGAUGCAGGAGACUGAAGUUUCUGGUUUCUUCUGUGGUAUCUUCACAUUCACAUGGAAGUUGUUAAUUUUACAGUGGUUUGAUGCUACACUGACAUGAGAUGAUCGUCUAAGUUUGAAAUUACAGUAUCUAUUUACAAAUAUGCUGAUAUAAAUUUUUUCUGGCAGCAAGCUGGUGUUGGUACUGGGAGUUUCAGCAACAGCCAACCGAUGAUCCUUUUGAAUAAUGUUGUUGAUGAUUCUAGAUACGUAUAGAUUUUGAUGUUCCAAGAUAUGGAUUUUCAGGUUCCUUCUCUUCUUCAGAGAGAAUGUUAUGUUGGAAGUUCUUUGUGAUUAGUAGGCAAAAGUGAUUGUAUAUAUAGAUCAGUUUUUUCGGCUCUUGAUAAUGUGGGUUCACUUCUUUGUGUUAUGUUCUCUUUAUUAUAGAGCGUUCGUGUUUUCCCUCUUGCUUUAGGAGGAUGGGUUUGACUAAACGUUUUCUUAGAAUAUAAAUCAUAGUCACAUAUUCUUGUUGGAGGCUUCUCUUUUUAUUUAAAUUACUUCUUAUUAUUAUAAUUGUUUUGGUAUCAGUUAUUUGUUCCUCUUUGCAGAUUGACUUCUGGUUGUCGGAGGAUUCUCUUGUUACAUGAAGUCUCUCUUGUAUGCUCAUGUGUUCCGUUCAGACUUAUUUCGCUUUCCCAUUAUGUGUUUCUUUCAUGAUCUAUGGUUAAAAUUCUGGUUCUACAAAACUUUGGUGACUCAUGAAAGGCAGAGAGUGUGUUACGGGAUUGAAAAGGAAGAGAUGUUAUGGGACUAGUCCUGGUUAAAGUGCUCUUAGAUUUUAAAAAUUAAAUUUUGUUUUGCCGAAAAGGUAAAUUCAUUAUUGCCACGGAUUGCUCUGUUAUUGGUUUUGCCGUAGUCUGUCUUUACUUCUUAUUGACAGGAAUAGAAGAAAGCAAAAAUAGAGACUUGAAGGAUCAAGCAAAGAUGUCAAAGACCAUAAAAUUAAAGAUGCACAAUUAUUGCAACUAAUGACUUCUCUCCAAACAACCAGCUUG